AUGCUGGAGGUAUCAGAAGUGCGAAUGCUGACAUAAGUAACGAUAAAGCGGGUGAAAAGCCCGCUCGCCGGAAGACCAAGGGUUCCUGUCCAACGUUAAUCGGGGCAGGGUGAGUCGACCCCUAAGGCGAGGCCGAAAGGCGUAGUCGAUGGGAAACAGGUUAAUAUUCCUGUACUUGGUGUUACUGCGAAGGGGGGACGGAGAAGGCUAUGUUGGCCGGGCGACGGUUGUCCCGGUUUAAGCGUGUAGGCUGGUUUUCCAGGCAAAUCCGGAAAAUCAAGGCUGAGGCGUGAUGACGAGGCACUACGGUGCUGAAGCAACAAAUGCCCUGCUUCCAGGAAAAGCCUCUAAGCAUCAGGUAACAUCAAAUCGUACCCCAAACCGACACAGGUGGUCAGGUAGAGAAUACCAAGGCGCUUGAGAGAACUCGGGUGAAGGAACUAGGCAAAAUGGUGCCGUAACUUCGGGAGAAGGCACGCUGAUAUGUAGGUGAAGUCCCUCGCGGAUGGAGCUGAAAUCAGUCGAAGAUACCAGCUGGCUGCAACUGUUUAUUAAAAACACAGCACUGUGCAAACACGAAAGUGGACGUAUACGGUGUGACGCCUGCCCGGUGCCGGAAGGUUAAUUGAUGGGGUUAGCGCAAGCGAAGCUCUUGAUCGAAGCCCCGGUAAACGGCGGCCGUAACUAUAACGGUCCUAAGGUAGCGAAAUUCCUUGUCGGGUAAGUUCCGACCUGCACGAAUGGCGUAAUGAUGGCCAGGCUGUCUCCACCCGAGACUCAGUGAAAUUGAACUCGCUGUGAAGAUGCAGUGUACCCGCGGCAAGACGGAAAGACCCCGUGAACCUUUACUAUAGCUUGACACUGAACAUUGAGCCUUGAUGUGUAGGAUAGGUGGGAGGCUUUGAAGUGUGGACGCCAGUCUGCAUGGAGCCGACCUUGAAAUACCACCCUUUAAUGUUUGAUGUUCUAACGUUGACCCGUGAUCCGGGUUGCGGACAGUGUCUGGUGGGUAGUUUGACUGGGGCGGUCUCCUCCUAAAGAGUAACGGAGGAGCACGAAGGUUGGCUAAUCCUGGUCGGACAUCAGGAGGUUAGUGCAAUGGCAUAAGCCAGCUUGACUGCGAGCGUGACGGCGCGAGCAGGUGCGAAAGCAGGUCAUAGUGAUCCGGUGGUUCUGAAUGGAAGGGCCAUCGCUCAACGGAUAAAAGGUACUCCGGGGAUAACAGGCUGAUACCGCCCAAGAGUUCAUAUCGACGGCGGUGUUUGGCACCUCGAUGUCGGCUCAUCACAUCCUGGGGCUGAAGUAGGUCCCAAGGGUAUGGCUGUUCGCCAUUUAAAGUGGUACGCGAGCUGGGUUUAGAACGUCGUGAGACAGUUCGGUCCCUAUCUGCCGUGGGCGCUGGAGAACUGAGGGGGGCUGCUCCUAGUACGAGAGGACCGGAGUGGACGCAUCACUGGUGUUCGGGUUGUCAUGCCAAUGGCACUGCCCGGUAGCUAAAUGCGGAAGAGAUAAGUGCUGAAAGCAUCUAAGCACGAAACUUGCCCCGAGAUGAGUUCUCCCUGACCCUUUAAGGGUCCUGAAGGAACGUUGAAGACGACGACGUUGAUAGGCCGGGUGUGUAAGCGCAGCGAUGCGUUGAGCUAACCGGUACUAAUGAACCGUGAGGCUUAACCUU
rnacentral:rRNA from 1 species